AUCUUAUCAAGAGUAGGUGGAGGGACUGGCCCGAUGAAACCCGGCAACCGGCGAGCGAUCGCACGGUGCUAAUUCUUGCGGAACUUUUGGAGCAGCUGUCUUUAGGCGGCUAACCCCGGAAGUCUCUGAGAGAUGAGAG
rnacentral:ncRNA from 2 species